CUAAGUCGUAACAAGGUAGCCGUACCGGAAGGUGCGGCUGGAACACCUCCUUUCUGGAGACUCUG
rnacentral:rRNA from 1 species